rnacentral:lncRNA from 1 species
CAGAAAUUUAGAAAUUUCAAAACUAAACAACUCAUAUCUUACAAUGACGUGAUCAUGGAUCAUGUCAUUGAUUUACAAUAACCAUUAUUUUCAAACAUGAUAACUCCAAAAAUUUCUGAAUUUAGAUCUAUAAUUAGCAUUUAAGAUGAGAUAAAGUCAGAUUCCACAAUAGGAAACACACAAUAUCAACUUUUAUAAUUUAUCACUGCUACUUGAAUUGCUUAUAUUUCUUAUCUCUCGCCAUUUUUAUAAUGCUGUGACUAUUUUUUCUAUUCUUGAAUUAUUUUUUCUUGAUUAUUAUUAAUGACAAAAGAGAAAAUCGUAAAUAGAAUUUUUUUAUAUAUACACUUAUACAAUAGAUCAGUGGUCUCAAACUCAAAUUUCAUGCGGGCCGAAUGCACAAUUCGAAAGGAAGUAAAGGGCCGAAUAUUUUUAAACAAAAUUACAAUGAAAGGAAAAUAUUUUACUGAUAUAGUAGUUGCUGGUAGCACAGUGCAGGUUGAAUACGGUACGCUUUAAAACUUUGCAGAAUUAUUGUAACAACAUUAAAUUGUAAUAAUUUUCUGACUGUAAUAUGUAUUUAAACAAAUAGCUAAAACAUCUUCGCGGGCCUUACAAAUUUGCAUUGUGGGCCGCCAGUUUGAGGUCGUUGCAAUAGAUCAAUUAUAUACAAAAAAAUUUUAAAAUAUGUCUUCUGUGCUUUAUUCUCAUAUUUAAUGUAUUUUUAGAUCAUAAAUAGACCUAUAUUUAAAGGCAUUUUUUAGAUUUUAAUUUUUUC